AGUUGGAACGACUGCUAAUACCGGAUGUGCCGGGAGGUGAAAGAUUAAUCGCCUGAAGAUAAGCUCGCGUCUGAUUAGCUAGUAGGUGGGGUAAGAGCCUACCUAGGCGACGAUCAGUAGCUGGUCUGAGAGGAUGAUCAGCCACACUGGGACUGAGACACGGCCCAGACUCCUACGGGAGGCAGCAGUGGGGAAUUUUCCGCAAUGGGCGAAAGCCUGACGGAGCAAUACCGCGUGAGGGAGGAAGGCUCUUGGGUUGUAAACCUCUUUUCUCAAGGAAGAAAAAAAUGACGGUACUUGAGGAAUAAGCAUCGGCUAACUCCGUGCCAGCAGCCGCGGUAAUACGGAGGAUGCAAGCGUUAUCCGGAAUGAUUGGGCGUAAAGCGUCCGCAGGUGGCCCUGUAAGUCUGCUGUUAAAGAGUUACGCUUAACGUAAUAAAAGCAGUGGAAACUACAGAGCUAGAGUGCGUUCGGGGCAGAAGGAAUUCCUGGUGUAGCGGUGAAAUGCGUAGAGAUCAGGAAGAACACCGGUGGCGAAAGCGUUCUGCUAGGCCGCAACUGACACUGAGGGACGAAAGCUAGGGGAGCGAAUGGGAUUAGAUACCCCCNAAUUUUCCACCCCUUUACCNCCCCUCCGG
rnacentral:rRNA from 1 species